rnacentral:rRNA from 1 species
AUUGAACGCUGGCGGCAUGCCUUACACAUGCAAGUCGAACGGCAGCAUGGAGAGCUUGCUCUCUGAUGGCGAGUGGCGAACGGGUGAGUAAUGCAUCGGAACGUACCGUGUAAUGGGGGAUAACGUAGCGAAAGUUACGCUACUACCGCAUACGACCUGAGGGUGAAAGAAGGGGAUCGCAAGACCUUUCGUUAUACGAGCGGCCGAUGUCAGAUUAGCUAGUUGGUGAGGUAAAGGCUCACCCAGGCGACGAUCUGUAGCGGGUCUGAGAGGAUGAUCCGCCACACUGGGACUGAGACACGGCCCAGACUCCUACGGGAGGCAGCAGUGGGGAAUUUUGGACAAUGGGGGCAACCCUGAUCCAGCCAUGCCGCGUGAGUGAAGAAGGCCUUCGGGUUGUAAAGCUCUUUCGGCCGGGAAGAAAUCGCACAGGCUAAUACUCUGUGUGGAUGACGGUACCGGCAUAAGAAGCACCGGCUAACUACGUGCCAGCAGCCGCGGUAA